rnacentral:rRNA from 1 species
CAGCAGCCGCGGUAAUACGUAGGUGGCAAGCGUUGUCCGGAAUUAUUGGGCGUAAAGGGCUCGCAGGCGGUUUCUUAAGUCUGAUGUGAAAGCCCCCGGCUCAACCGGGGAGGGUCAUUGAAAACUGGGAAACUUGAGUGCAGAAGAGGAGAGUGGAAUUCCACGUGUAGCGGCGAAAUGCGUAGAGAUGUGGAGGAACACCAGUGGCGAAGGCGACUCUCUGGUCUGUAACUGACGCUGAGGAGCGAAAGCGUGGGGAGCGAACAGGAUUAGAUACCCGCGUAGUCCCUGUCUCUUAUAC